GGUUUAUGAUGACACAGGUCCUUGUUUGAACAUGGUGAUUUCAAAGUAGGAGCUGGAAAUGACUCUGAAAUC
rnacentral:snoRNA from 1 species